AAAAUUAAUGUGAAAUUCAGAUCCCCCUACCCAAAAUUGAAAAGAUGCGAGAGGAUAUAACCCUUCAAGAAGCCAAAACAGGACGAGAAUAAUUUAGACGCUGAACUUUUUGAAAAUCCUAGCAAUAUCCUGGAGCUUAGGUAUUGGUCUUCUUAUGGCGGAUAAAUAUAUUCUAGGACUGGUAAUUUCUUAAAACUUUUCACUAGGUGUCCUAUUUCUUGAUCUUUAUAUGUUAGUUUAUAAGUCUCCAUGGAUGUUUUAUCAAGUGUUUUUAUUUGUUUCUUAAAUAUUGAUGAUUGCUUUUGCUAAUAUACACGAGGCUCAUAUAGUUUCUUUCAUUGAUGUUGUUGAAACUAUUAAGGAGGGUAGAGUUCAUAUAGACUACCCAGAGAAUAUUAAGGCUGAUGACAAUGGGAAAGACAAGGUUUCAAUCUAACUGGCCCUCUUAUGUUACAUCUUCCUGUUAUUAUAUGUUAUGACAUCUUUCUGUUAUUA